GACGAACGCUGGCGGCGUGCCUAACACAUGCAAGUCGAGCGAAUGAAGUUCCUUCGGGGAUGGAUUUAGCGGCGGACGGGUGAGUAACACGUGGGCAACCUGCCUCAUAGAGGGGAAUAGCCUUCCGAAAGGGAGAUUAAUACCGCAUAAGAUUGUAGUAUCGCAUGAUACAGCAAUUAAAGGAGCAAUCCGCUAUGAGAUGGGCCCGCGGCGCAUUAGCUAGUUGGUGAGGUAACGGCUCACCAAGGCGACGAUGCGUAGCCGACCUGAGAGGGUGAUCGGCCACAUUGGGACUGA
rnacentral:rRNA from 1 species